rnacentral:rRNA from 1 species
GGGAAACCCUGACGCAGCAACGCCGCGUGAAUGAUGAAGGCCUUAGGGUUGUAAAGUUCUGUCUUCUGGGACGAUAAUGACGGUACCAGAGGAGGAAGCCACGGCUAACUACGUGCCAGCAGCCGCGGUAAUACGUAGGUGGCAAGCGUUGUCCGGAAUUAUUGGGCGUAAAGGGUGCGUAGGCGGUCUUGCAAGUCAGAGGUGAAAGGCUACGGCUCAACCGUAGUAAGCCUUUGAAACUGUAGGACUUGAGUGCAGGAGAGGAAAGUGGAAUUCCCAGUGUAGCGGUGAAAUGCGUAGAUAUUGGGAGGAACACCAGUUGCGAAGGCGGCUUUCUGGACUGUAACUGACGCUGAGGCACGAAAGCGUGGGGAGCGAACAGGAUUAGAUACCCUGGUAGUCCACGCCGUAAACGAUGAGUACUAGGUGUCGGGGGUUACCCCCCUCGGUGCCGCAGCUAACGCAUUAAGUACUCCGCCUGGGAAGUA